CCUACGGGAGGCAGCAGUAGGGAAUCUUCCACAAUGGGCGAAAGCCUGAUGGAGCAACGCCGCGUGGGUGAAGAAGGUCUUCGGAUCGUAAAACCCUGUUGUUAGAGAAGAAAGUGCGUGAGAGUAACUGUUCACGUUUCGACGGUAUCUAACCAGAAAGCCACGGCUAACUACGUGCCAGCAGCCGCGGUAAUACGUAGGUGGCAAGCGUUAUCCGGAUUUAUUGGGCGUAAAGGGAACGCAGGCGGUCUUUUAAGUCUGAUGUGAAAGCCUUCGGCUUAACCGGAGUAGUGCAUUGGAAACUGGGAGACUGGAGUGCAGAAGAGGAGAGUGGAACUCCAUGUGUAGCGGUGAAAUGCGUAGAUAUAUGGAAGAACACCAGUGGCGAAAGCGGCUCUCUGGUCUGUAACUGACGCUGAGGUUCGAAAGCGUGGGGAGCAAACAGGAUUAGAUACCCUAGUAGUC
rnacentral:rRNA from 1 species